rnacentral:rRNA from 1 species
UGGCUACAGGACGAACGCUGGCGGCGUGCUUCAAACAUGCAAGUCGAACGGAGUUAAUUUUGAAGCUUGCUUUAGAAUUAACUUAGUGGCGGACUGGUGAGUAACGCGUGAGUAAUCUGCCUAUCACAGGGGGAUAACAGAGGGAAACUUCUGCUAAUACCGCAUAAGACCACAGGAUGGCAUCAUCAAGGGGUCAAAGGUUAGAUCUGGUGAUAGAUGAGCUUGCGUAUCAUUAGCUAGUUGGUGAGGGUAAAGGCCCACCAAGGCGACGAUGAUUAGCCGAUCUGAGAGGAUGACCGGCCACACUGGGACUGAGAUACGGCCCAGACUCCUACGGGAGGCAGCAGUUAGGAAUAUUGGGCAAUGGAGGAAACUCUGACCCAGCAACGCCGCGUGAAGGAAGAAGGUUUUCGGACUGUAAACUUCUAUCAAUAGGGAAGAAAGAAAUGACGGUACCUAAAUAAGAAGCCCCGGCUAACUACGUGCCAGCAGCCGCGGUAA